rnacentral:miRNA from 1 species
AAAUACAGAUUCUUGGGUGCUAUUCCAGUCCCAUUGUAUUGGAUUAUUUCAGGUUGGAGUCCAGGAAUCUGCACUUUAAAUGCACUCAGGUGGCUUUUGGCCAUUG